GGGCGGGGAGGCGAGGGGGUGGGAAGGGAAGGGUCACAGGAGAAUGAUUACCCAAUAACCCAAUGGGGUACAGAAGCGUAUACACUCUUUUUCAUAGGGGAAGGGGAGAGAUGGAGAAUAUAGACAAUUCUUCUGAGGGCAGCAAGUGAUUCUUAGGGCGAAAAAAUGGACAGAAAUUAACUUGUAAAUGAUUCUCUUUAGAAUUUGAAUGAGCCCGAGAAACAGGCAUCAUCUUGUGAAAAAUCCAUCCAGGCGUAGUUGCCUUCCUCAGUCUUCUUUUCUGAGCUAGAUGAGAUUUCGGAGAGGGGAGGAAGGCAAUUUUGUUUCUUUUGGAAAGACGUUUUCUCGAUCAGAUUAGGAAAUUCUAGAGAGAGUGCCUCCCUAUACUUGGGAGAGAAGGUUAGAGGGACCUUGAUUCUGAGGCAGCUUCGAAGGCCUCUCAGCAUGUCAAAGCGCCAGUCUUUGGGGUAUCGCUUUCUGAGCCCCAACAGUACAAAUAAAUAUUUAGGAGACCGUUGUUAGCAGAACCUGCUCACUAACUGAAUAUGUGGAGAGGAGAAGGGAACAGAACUGUCCAGAGUAACUGGCAUUUGGUCAGCCAAUCAUGUGCUAGGCAAUGGGGAUGCAAAAAUGACUGGGACCAACCUGCCUCCAGAGUUCUCUGACUAAAGAAACAGAUGGGUCUACAAAAUGUCAAUAGAAUGUAAGAAAUGUGAUGACAGAAGUAUACACACGCAGCACAGAGGAGGAUCUUCAGCCCAGCCAGGAAGAUUCAGGGAAGGCUCCCUAGAGGAACCAAGCCUUGAGCUGAGUCUUGAGUCAUGGCUAGCAGUUCCCUCAAGCAGAAUUGCUGAGGGGCUCAGGAGCAUAGACUGAGAAAUCAGAUAGCCAUGGGUUCAAAUCCUGACUCUUGUCUGCUUAUCUCAGAAAAGCUAUUUACACUCUUUGUUUUUAAAAAAAGACAAUAAUAGUACCCACUCCUAGGGUUGCUAUGAGUAUUAAAUCACCUAAAUGUGUAUAAAGUGCUUGGCAUAGUAGUUUGCACCUUCUCAGUGCUCAGUAAAUGGUUAUUGACAUGUUAAGUAUUUCCCAACUGUAUUGCUCCUUCUGUAAUGUCCUAUGUCCAUUCGUGGCAUUACUCAUUCAUUAAGCCAGAAAUCUGAGUGACACCUUCAAGGCGUCCCAUCUUUACAUUAUUCUCCAGAUCCAGCUUACUGCACUUAUGCCUCCUAAAUGUCUCUCAAAGUCAACAUCAUUAUCUCUUACCUGGACCACUUUAGCAGCUCCCUGAAUGGUCUCCCUGCUGUCUUGUUGCCCCAUCCAGUCCAUUUCCUUUCUUUUGGCCGUAGUUUCAUCUUUCAAAUAAAACUAUGAGGUUUCCAUCUUAGCCUCCCACCCCCAACUCUAUGGGUCCCUUCUGGCCGUAUCUCCUCCACGCCCUCCACAGCCACCAUAACCUGUCACCCUCUCCAGCCUAUGCUUUCAUUCCCAACACACAUGUGCUUCCAUGGCUUUGCCCAGGUUGGUCCCUUGGCCAGAAAUGAAUUUCUCCCUUCUCUUCCUUGACUACAAAAUGCUAAUUCAUCCUGCAAGAUCCAACUCACAAGGCAGAAGGCUUUCCCAGACUGCCUGUGCUAUGGUUGUACCCUCCAAAACUUACACUGAAAUUUGUCAUUGUAUUAAGAGGUGGGACCUUUAAGAGGUUAUUAGGCCAUGAGGGCUGCACUCUCAUGGGUGGAUUGACACCCUUAUAAAAGGGCAAGUUCAACUCCCUCUUGCCCUCUCUUGCCCUCUCACCUGCCAUGGGAUGACACAGCAAGAAGGCCCUCACAAGUUGCCAGCCCCUUGACACUGAAUUCCCCAGCACCCAGAACUGUGAGCCAAUAAAUACCUGUUCAUUAUAAGUUAUCCAGUCUGUGGUAUUGUUAUAGCAGCACAAAAUGGACUAAAACACCCUGGUUGCUAGAGGCUCUCUCCUCUCAAUCCCUUGGCCCCUCUGGGAGAACAGGUUUCCCUUUGCACCAUAACUUUCUGUUUAUAUGCUGGCCAUGGCCAGACUGUAAGCAACUCAAGCAAAAGGACUGGACCUAAUCUUUCACUAUCUAUGGGGCUCAGCAUAACUACCUAGGCCACAAGAACCAAAGGAGACUCAUCCACACCAGACAUGGAAAACUCUAUGAAUAAAGUCAUAGACCCAUAAAAUGCUGUAUAAAUGUAAAGGUUAAACUCAGACUCAGCCACUUCCUGGCUUCAUGGUUUGAGGUAAGCUGUUUAAACCUCUCCAAGCCCAUUUCCUCAUCUGUAAAUGGGGGUGAAAACAAUAUCUGUUUUACAGCAUUGCUCUGAGUUCAAACCUCACCCAUGCCCCCAAUUUUAGAGAUGAUAAAACAACCUCAGAGAGGUAAACUGACCCAGCCCUUCUACUGGAGACCUUUGGACAGUCAUCCAAUUUAAGUCUUCCCAAAGCUGGCUGCUCAGAAUCUUGUGAAGCACUUGUUAAAACCUUAUUCGAGGGCAGAGUCUAUUCACUAAGUCUUGGACCAGACCCAAACACUGAUAUAAUCAAGUCUCUGUGCUCCCAAUGUCUCUUCCUCUUCCAAGCCUUUGCACAGCUGUUCCCUGAUCUUGGAACAUUCUUCCCAGCCCUGGCCCUCCUUCAGCAGCUAAUCUCUAAUCAUCUUUCUGGCACUUACUCCUGUAUUUUAACUGCUUGCUUAUUUGUCUGUUUUUCCCAUAUGACCAUAAGUUCCAUUAAGGGUAGAAACUACAUCUUGUUCAGGGCUAUUCCUGUGGCGCCCAAAAGUGAUAAAUGUCUGCUGGAUAAAUGAAUGAGAAGAAUUAGCUGACCCAGUGUGGCCCAGAAAAGCAGCCAAUCCUGAAGGCUUUUCCUCCUGCCUGGAGGUGACACACCAACCCAAAGGACUGCUCAAGGAGUGGAAAGGGGCUUUCUGGGUGGAGACUGCCAUCAGCCCUCUCUGGUCUAAGAAGCCUGCAAAGCUAAAAGCUCAUGAUUUGGCAUUAGACCUGGGUCCACCACAUUUAGUCCUGUGACCUCAGACAGGUCUUGUAACCUGCCCUGAGCUUUGGCUUUCUCUUCUAUUGUAAGGACCAGCCACAUUCAUGUAAAGCACUCACCCCUUGCCUGACCCACACUGACCACUCAAUAAAGCCAUCGAUACUAGGUUCUGGUUGCCAUUU
rnacentral:lncRNA from 10 species